UUUUUUCCUUGAAUGUGAACACAUGAGUGAAGCAUACAUCCAUUGUCCAUGGGGCAAGAAACAUGAGGAUGAAAAGCCAAUAUGUUAAGGACAUGAAGUGAAAAGCGGGAAGAGCUUCUUAUUCAUGUUAUCACUGAGCAGCGGGAACUGGGGGCUCUGCUCAUUAUAGUUGCCCACGGCCUCCAGUCAAUGAAAUUUCCGGCCAAUGAAAUGCUCUACUGUGACUGAAGCAGCAAAGAGAAGAUGUUCUGCCGGAGGCCUCUCCAGAUUGUGAUGCACUGGGAGCAAGCCACCAUGAACAUAUCCUCAGGUCUCCAGUCUUCUGCCAUCGCAUGAAAAAUGGAGCUUGUCAAACACAGAGCAGAGCUGAACUUUCUGAAUUCCACAGGACAGUUCAGAGUGCUUGGAAUGACACCCACCUGCAAUUUAAACAAAAAAGAAGGAUGAGUAAGUGAGGAGCUAAAAAUUGCAUGUUUCCCUAAAUUAGAUUUAUUUGUAAGCUUUAAGUAAGUGCAAACAUAUUUCGAAUUAUCUGUUAUGAAUUGUGGUUUUGUUAUUAAAUAGACAUUUU
rnacentral:lncRNA from 1 species